rnacentral:rRNA from 1 species
AGGAUGAACGCUGGCGGCGUGCCUAAUACAUGCAAGUCGAGCGGUAAGGCCUCUUCGGAGGUACACGAGCGGCGGACGGCUGAGUAACACGUAGGAACGUACCCCAAAGUGAGGGAUAAGCACCAGAAAUGGUGUCUAAUACCGCAUGUGCUCUAAGGAGUAAAGCUUCGGCGCUUUGGGAACGGCCUGCGCAUGAUUAGCUUGUUGGUGAGGUAAAAGCUCACCAAGGCGACGAUCAUUAGCUGGUCUGAGAGGAUGAUCAGCCAGACUGGGACUGAGAACGGCCCAGACUCCUACGGGAGGCAGCAGUAGGGAAUUUUCCACAAUGGGCGAAAGCCUGAUGGAGCAACGCCGCGUGCAGGAUGAAUGCCUUAGGGUUGUAAACUGCUUUUAUCUGUGACGAAUAUGACGGUAGCAGAUGAAUAAGGAUCGGCUAACUCCGUGCCAGCAGCCGC